rnacentral:rRNA from 1 species
UACGUAGGGUGCGAGCGUUGUCCGGAAUUAUUGGGCGUAAAGAGCUUGUAGGCGGUUUGUCGCGUCUGCCGUGAAAAUCCGGGGCUCAACCCCGGACUUGCGGUGGGUACGGGCAGACUAGAGUGUGGUAGGGGAGACUGGAAUUCCUGGUGUAGCGGUGGAAUGCGCAGAUAUCAGGAGGAACACCAAUAGCGAAGGCAGCUCGCUGGGACGUUACUGACACUAAGGCGCGAAAGCGUGGGGAGCGAACAGG